rnacentral:rRNA from 1 species
GACGAACGCUGGCGGCGUGCUUAACACAUGCAAGUCGAGCGGUAAGGCCCUUCGGGUACGACGAGCGGCGAACGGGUGAGUAACACGUGGGUGACCUGCCCUUAGCUCUGGGAUAAGCCUGGGAAACUGGGUCUAAUACCGGAUAUGACCUCAUGACGCAUGUUGUGGGGUGGAAAGCCUUGUGCGGCUAGGGAUGGGCCCGCGGCCUAUCAGCUUGUUGGUGGGGUGAUGGCCACCAAGGCGACGACGGGUAGCCGGCCUGAGAGGGCGACCGGCCACACUGGGACUGAGACACGGCCCAGACUCCUACGGGAGGGCAGCAGGUGGGGAAUCUUGCGCAAUGGGCGAAAGCCUGACGCAGCGACGCCGCGUGAGGGAUGACGGCCUGGUGUAA